rnacentral:rRNA from 1 species
UACGUAGGGUGCAAGCGUUGUCCGGAAUUAUUGGGCGUAAAGAGCUCGUAGGCGGUCUGUUGCGUCGGCUGUGAAAACUCAGGGCUUAACCCCGAGCCUGCAGUGGAUACGGGCAGACUAGAGGUAGGUAGGGGAGAAUGGAAUUCCCGGUGUAGCGGUGAAAUGCGCAGAUAUCGGGAAGAACACCCGUGGCGAAGGCGGUUCUCUGGGACGGUACUGACGCUGAGACGCGAAAGCGUGGGGAGCGAACAGG